GACAGAGGGUGCAAACGUUGCUCGGAAUCAUUGGGCGUAAAGCGCGUGUAGGCGGUUCGGUAAGUCCGCUGUGAAAGUCGGGGCUCAACCCUCGGAUGCCGGUGGAUACUGUCGGACUAGAGUACGGAAGAGGCGAGUGGAAUUCCUGGUGUAGCGGUGAAAUGCGCAGAUAUCAGGAGGAACACCGGUGGCGAAGGCGGGUCUCUGGCCGAUACUGACGCUGAGGAGCGAAAGCGUGGGGAGCGAACAGG
rnacentral:rRNA from 1 species